rnacentral:lncRNA from 10 species
CCUUUGUCCCGUGUGCUCUGGAGAUUGCAUCCCACGCAGGCAGCCCAUUCUGUUUCAGGAGAGGCUGGCGGUUACCUUUCUUGGGGAGACGCGUCCGACUGCUUCAUUGUGGGGGCCUCAGGAGCGGAGGAUCGGGUCCCGCCCGAGGUGACGCGUAAACCCAGACUCUCAGCAACGCGGGUAGGAAGGACCCUUGAAGUUCCGCGGCGACCACGUCGGCUGAAACCAGCAGCCCAGGACAAGUGGACCAGCCAGCAAGACCCAGACCAUCCAAACCGGCUGAUCCUACGACAGGACCCAGAUGCCAGUGAAAGUGACCACAGCCCUGCUCUAGUCACCCCGGAAGCUGACCAGUCUACGCACGGCCGAAGCUUCGUCAAGGAAGCCUCCACCCCUCGAAUUCCCAGUUCACCGACACCAGCCUGGGGAUCACCUCCUUGUCAGAAGUUGGAAAGAGGAAAAACUCAGCCAACCUGGGAAGGACUUUAUCGGGUGCUCCUGACCACCAAGAUGACGGUCGGAAAGGGCCCCAUCCCUGGAGGGAUCUUGGACCUUCACUCCAGGAUCAACGCCUUCCAAAUUAACAUUCAAAAAGGUUUAAUCUGUCUCUUCCUUCUCCCUGUAGCCGCCCAAGGACGUCUUAUUAUCAAUAUAAGGUGAUCACCCUUUCCCCAGCUAGUUUCGUUUGAUGCCUGUCUGGUUCAUAUACCCCGUAAAGAUAUCCACAGCCAAAGACAGCCUCUUCUGAAGAAAAUCCUUGGCCCAGCCCUUGUAGUAACCGGUACCCUGGGGUGCCAUUCCCUGUUGAAAUUCGCUCAGGAUGGUGGCAGAAAUAUUAAAGGGAAACAUUAGGUAAAGUUAGAGAAAAUAGUCACAAACCGGCCGGGCGUGGUGGCUCACGCCUGUCAUCCUAGCACUUCGGGAGGCCGAGGCAGGAGGAUCACGAGGUCAGGAGAUCGAGACAAUCCCGGCUAACAUGGUGAAACCCCGUCUCUACUAAAAAUACAAAAAAUUAGCCGGGCGUGGUGGCGGGCGCCUGUAAUCUCAGCUACUUGGGAGGCUGAGGCAGGAGAAUUGCUUGAACCUGGGAGGCGGAGGUUGCAGUGAGCCAAGAUCACGCCAUUGCACUCCAGCCUGGGCUACAAGAGCGAAACUCCGUUUCAAAAAAAUAAAUAAAUAAAUAAAGCGCAUCGUUACUUCGAUCCCAGAUAAUACAGGCCCUGAUGGGACCAUCUCGAAAGCCUGACAGGGCCUUACCGACCUAACAAAUGAAUUAGCCAUAAACUCUGGAAUAGAUGGCCCCUUGAUGGGACUGAUGGAAAGGUGGUUUGGAAAAUGGAAGGGACUCAUAACAUCAAUCUUUUUUUUGUUCUUUUCUUCAUUUUUAUUUUUAUUUUUUGAGACACAGUCUCGUUCUGUCGCCCAGGCUGGAGUGCAAUGGCAUGAUCUUGGCUCACUGCAACCUCCGCCUCCUGGGUUCAAGUGAUUCUCCCGCCUCGGCCUCCCAAGUAGCUGGGAUUACACGCACCUGCCACCACGCCCGGCUAAUUUUUUUGUAUUUUUAGUAGACGGGGUUUCACCAUGUUGGCCAGGCUGGUCUCAAACUCCUGACCUUGUGAUCCACCCGCCUUGGCCUCCCGAAGUGCUGGGAUGACAGGCGUGAGCCACCGCGCCCGGGCUGACCUCAAUCUUUACCUCCCUCGCAAUUGCUACAGGAGGACUCAUCCUGUGGGCUGCUGUGUCAUACCUUUGUAUUCGCGGGUUAACCCAAAGACUCACAGAAGCAGCUCUCACAAAAACCUCCCCUACCUCUCCUGCUCUGUAUUCCGAUAAGCUCUUGUUCCUAGACGAUCAAGAAGAACAACAAAGCCAAAUCCUGUUAAAGAAAUUUGAAGGCCGGGCACGGUGGCUCAUGCCUGUAAUCCCAGCACUUUGGGAGGCCGAGGUGGGUGGAUCACGAGGUCAGGAGUUCGAGACCAUCCUGGCCAACGUGGUCAAACCCCAUCUCUACCAAAAUACAAAAAUAAGCUGGGUUUGGUGGCACGUGCCUGUAAUCCCAGCUACUCAGGAGGCUGAGACAUGAGAAUCGCUUGAACCCAGGAGGCGGAGGUUGCAGUGAGCCGAGAUUGCGCCACUGCACUCCAGCCUGGGCAACAGAGCGAGACUCCGUCUCAAAAAAAAAAAAAAAAAAGAAAACUAGGCCGGGCGCCGUGGCUCACGCCUGUAAUCCCAGC